AUGCAGCGCCUCUCCUCUCCCUCGCGACCUCUCCUCUCCUCCGUGGCGUCUCGCUGGUGGUGGCCACCAGCACUCGCGCGACGACUCGAUCCACCUCUCCGUCGUGUUUCCUCGGAGGCUACAUGGGGCCAAGAUGUGAACCUCCAUGACAGCGAUGAAGAUCCAUCGAGCGCAACCAAGGCUCGCACGACUGAAAUCGUGAUCAAGGAGGACGAAGAAGAAGCCAGCGACUACGAGUACAACCUCGGCCACGUACUUGAAAAGAGCGGACACCGUGAUGGCUCUAUGUACAGGGCUAUCGGUUGGGGCUGGAAAAGGGAUUAUUCUCUCGGCGAUCGUAGCGAGAGGUUCCCUCAUCAACAUGGGUGGUGGCCCUAA
rnacentral:rRNA from 1 species